GACGAACGCUGGCGGCGUGCUUAACACAUGCAAGUCGAGCGGAAAGGCCCUUCGGGGUACUCGAGCGGCGAACGGGUGAGUAACACGUGAGUAACCUGCCCCAGACUUUGGGAUAACCCUCGGAAACGGGGGCUAAUACCGGAUACGACACAGCUUCGCAUGGGGUCUGUGUGGAAAGUUUUUCGGUUUGGGAUGGGCUCGCGGCCUAUCAGCUUGUUGGUGGGGUGAUGGCCUACCAAGGCGACGACGGGUAGCCGGCCUGAGAGGGCGACCGGCCACACUGGGACUGAGACACGGCCCAGACUCCUACGGGAGGCAGCAGUGGGGAAUAUUGCACAAUGGGAGGAAGCCUGAUGCAGCGACGCCGCGUGAGGGAUGACGGCCUUCGGGUUGUAAACCUCUUUCAGCAGGGACGAAGCGUAAGUGACGGUACCUGCAGAAGAAGCGCCGGCCAACUACGUG
rnacentral:rRNA from 1 species